rnacentral:lncRNA from 1 species
AAGGACAAUUUUUCCCAAGUGAUUGAGUGGAGCAGCAAAUGCCUGUGAAAAUAGUAGAUAUAAAAAUAUCAGCAAGAGCCAAAAUUACAAGACUGUUUCUGAAAAUAUUCCGAAAGAAUGUUUAGAAAACAUCUUUUUCCAGGUAGACAGAGAGUUUGUGAGGCUGCAUCAUUGGCAUCAUUUUAUCAUCACCAUCCCGCUCAGGAGCUCAAGAAGAGGGGAACUGAGUCAGUUAGAAUUACAGAGCUUUCUCAUAAUGAGUAUUUGCUUAUAAUUUGUUGUAAGGGUGAUAAUAAUUUCAGUUGGAGCCUCACUGGUAACCUUGCUCAGCCACACGACUGGAAUGUAAGAGGCUGGGGCAUUUUGGACAGCACAGAUGUUAAACGUGAACACUACCUUCUCAGUAGCACAAAUCUGACUACAUCUUUAAGUCUCCAAGAGGAGAAAAAGAGCUUCAGGAAAGGGAGGAUGGGGAAGAGUUUCUGCAACAGAUCUUGAUACUUUUCAAUUCCAAGUCUUAUGAGCCAAAAUCUUGUUGCUGAUGGAAGGAAGAGAAAGAUUUAAAUUGGAUAUAAGCUAGCUAGGUUGAUGUCAAAUAGCUGAGAGUGAUGAGAAAGAAUGGGAUUUCCUUUAGAAUGUCACUAAGGGAUAGAAAUGAAAAUUCUACAGAACAGUUGAAGGAAAUGACUUUUAAAAGAAAAAGAGAAACAACUUCAUAUCUGUGUCUCAUCAAAUUCACAUCAUUCAUUAAUCUGGCUACACAUUGUUGAACAUGAGGACAUGAGCAAUAGAGGAAACCUGGAGGAAGAGGGUGUGGCAUGUUGAAAUUUAAAAAGAAGCAAUGUGUAUUUGCAAGUCAAACCAAUAUAAUAAAACCAGUGGUUAUUUUUUAAUGUUUUCAAUCAUUGGAAUAUACAUGAAUUUUCACAAUAAAGUGUGCU